AACAGCACUGCAGGAUGGAAACAUUGGUCUCAUCAAUGCACAAAUCAUCGAGACUACAGGAACUGAAGGAGGAAACAUCACAGUUAGAUGCUCCUUCACUUUCUCUGGAUAUAGGAAGAUCUUUUGUAAGGAUGAAUGUAAAGAUGGAGACAUUCUCAUUGAGACAGAAGAGGACACAGCUCAGAGAUCCGAGUUACAGAUGCUCCAACCUCUCCUCUCAGACCUUCUUCACCAUCAGUCCCAUCAGCCUCCACACUGAUGACCUCACACAGUUUAAGCUCCACACCUUCAUCAGCCUCCACACUGAUGACAUCACAGAGUUUAAGCUCCACACCUUCAUCAGCCUCCCCUGAAGCCAGCGAGCAGCCUCGACAGAAACACACAGCUCCAGAGCGAAAGAGAGCUGUGCCUGAAUCAACUAUCGUCACGGAGUUAUAGGCAGUAAAAUGGUGGAGGAGGUGAAAAGGCUACGCAGGGGAGGCCCAGUCCACAGAGGGAUAUUGAAUCACAUCGAUUCUUCACAUCCCAGAGACUUCCAGGGUUUAGAGAUUCCCAGUUCAGUGGGCUGGGUGGCGAGCUACAGGAUCGAGACUCUGAACGUAGACGGAUUUCCCUUGAUUUAUUCUUCAUGGUGGAAGGACAAACGGAAACCAAACUCAUAUGGGCCCCAAUGUUGAACAUCUCUGAACUCUUGUCAUCAAAGAACAAUUGAGCUCAUAGA